rnacentral:misc_RNA from 1 species
GAAAUAUAGCUGUCUGUUAACGUUAUAUCUCUUAUUAUUUGUGUGUGGAUAUAUUUAUUUUAUUUAACAUAUAUAUGAAACUUUGAGAGUCUUACACUUGCAAAAUAUAGUUUUUAAUAAUGAUUUUUAAGAUUGAAAAUAUUCUAUAGUACGGUAAACAUAUUUCUUUGUGUUUGCAAGGUAAUGUUUAAUGCCUUCAAGAAUCUCACCAAUGCUCACUGUGUCAGCUGCAGUUAUAGAUGUCAACUCUAAAAUGAUCUGUAACAAGCCAAGAUUGGAAAAUAUUAUAAGAAGCGAUAAUCUUAAUUUUUAAGCCUCUUUUGCUCUGCAUCUUGUCCAUCAUUUCAAGAAAUUAGAAUAACUGGCUGUGUAAGCUUUGCUUAAAUACUCAGGUGCAAUUUGUUAAAAGAUGCUAGUAUCAAAUAAUGUGAGUGAUUACUGGCUUUUAUUAUCUAUAUAAGUAUGAUCUUACAAUAAAUAAACCUUGACCUGAAAAAU